CCCGCUCCGGGCUCAUGAAUAUGAAGCGGCGCUUUACAUAUGCGGUCCCCCCGGGCCGGGGGCGCGGCGGAUUGUGGAGAAAGCAACUCAUUCCGUACGCGUUAAGGGAGCGUUUACCUGGCAAAACCGGCGCUCAGCUCCAUUUCUGACCUGCGCGGCCGCAUCGGGCAGCGCGCGCAGACAGCUUUAGCUAACAGAAAGAAGAGCUCCAGAACCGAUCAAUUUCUUCCCCAGCUGCGCAGGGAGCGGCGAGGGGACUGCCUGCUUCAUUUUAACAAGCUCAACCGCUUAGGAAAAUCUUUUAUUUACGACUGCAGCCCUACGUGAUGCAAACGGCAAUCUUUGAGAUCAAAACAUACCGGUGCAGACCCUCAGAAAGCCUUAAUUCCAUUCACCAAUGGGAACAAAAAUGCCCUCGCACAGCAUUUCACCAAAUGAACGUGGCUGCAGAAGCCAAGUCUGAAAUACGUAAGUUCAACAGAUGUGUUUGUAUGUGCUCACAGCAGAGAGGUGCCGGCAUUCUGUGCCUAACCUUAUGUAAAGGCUGGGCCUGUGGUAUAAAUGCAUGCGAGCUUUGGAAUUGGAGCCUGCAUAACAGAACUGCAGCUCUGACUACCGUAUAAAAGCAGGUAGUAAAAGCUUAAUUACCAGUAGCAUUAUGCUGUCUAUAUUGUUAAAUGUGAACUCUAUAAUUAAGAUGUAAAUUCACGUGUGAGCAGUGAAUUACAGAGCUCUGAAAUGUAGAGGAAAAUCCAACCACGCUGUAGAAACAUCAGACUUAAAUAAAUAAAUAAAAAUGAAAAUCAGUUUUUAUUAAAUUUUAGAAUGAGGCAUUUAAUCAUGUCACAGUAUUAGGAUGUUCUCUGAGGAACAAUUGGAUAAAUGUGGGUUUUGGAAUCGAAUCAAAACUGAAAUAAGACAUGUUUAUUCUAUCUAUCGGCACCUCUGUAGUAUACAAAACCAAAAUACAGUUCCUAUAAAUUGAUUUUCAUGUGCCCUUUGGCAAACUAUGAAAAUAGAAUUGUAUUGUCCAUUUAUAGAUUCAUAUUCAAAAAUGCUAUUUUUCAAUUUUAUACUAAAAUACUUCCAAAUCAUUUCAUGCAUAUCUGCUUUCUUACUUUAAGUGACCUAUACCCAGUCUGUAUAGAUAGGUUAUUUCAUCAAGCCGCUUCUACGUAUUAAGUUCUCUAGAAUAUAUCCUCCUUCAUAAGACAACUGAUCCAUUUAGAAAUGUACCAAAGCACAGGUCAGCUUUAAUUUCUACUUUUGUUCAUUAUUUCUUAAGACAGUGCUUUUGUAUUCAGGUGCUGAAACAUGAUGUCUCUUUACUUCUGCCACGGAAACCCUCCUUUCCCAUAGUAUUCCCAUAGGUUCUGCCACCUCAUUGACUUGUUCCACCCAUACCGUAUACCAUCAGAUAUCUUUUUCCUCUCUCUCCAUUUGCCAUCGCUAUGUUUCUCUCACCCAUCUCUCAUCCAAGCAAGUGUCUCUCUUCCCUGCCAGUGCUGCUGCUCAGGCAACCAGAAAUACAGUGCUAUAGUUUGCACGCUGAUAAACAAAGCAGUUGGCUUCUUCCCUGGGACUGAAAAUGCCACCUCCACCAGACCAGGGCCUGGAAUUCCAACUGUAUUCUCGAACUUGGAUUUCAGUUAUCCAUCAGUUUAGAAAAAGAAGAUAAGAAAUAUUACUGCAGGCAAAUAAGCUGGGUGUAAGCAUAGCUUCACUUUCCCAAGCUUCUCUGUAGAAACAAAUAAAAUAGUUCUAGGAAAAAAAGAGGGGGGGGGGGAGGGGGGGGAAGCUCCUACAAUUUAAUUAAAUUUUAUCGGGGAUGUAGAAUAAGAGCAUGCAUGGAAACGUCCAUCUGCACUAACUUAUCAAAACGAACAGUGUAAAAUCUUACCACAAGGAGUCUAUACAAAACAGUGGUAAUGGAAUCAGAGAGGGGAAGGAAAAAAACAUCCUGGAUGUGUGCACCAGUCAAGGAGCAUUACUGAUCAGCAUCUGUGUUUCCAUCUCUGUGUGCCUAUGUAAUUUGUCUUACAUAUAUUCCAUGUUUAAGUAUCUUCACAUUUAUAUACUACAGACAUUUCUAGCCACAUUCUUACAACACAACUAGCUCAAGGCAACUGAAGAAGUAUAAUUCAGUGGCACAUCACAGAAACUGCACAGUGAGUUGUGUCAAAUGUGUAUUUAGCAAAAGGCAAAGCUCAAGUCAACUGGCAGGGAGCAAGAAUGUAAAAUACAUUUUAUUAGCUGCAGAGAAUUAAUUUGAAAACAAGUACAUCAUUUACUUAUCAUAACAUGUUGGGAAUUGGACUCUCUGAUCUCCGGAGAUCCCUUUUUACCCUACAAUUCUGUGAUUCUGCAAAAUUUUGCCAUACAUUAUGGUACCUUGUUCAAAGCAUAACUGGAGAAUAUCAGUAAGUUUGAAAUAAACAUUGAGUAAUCAUCAAAUAUGUGGUUCUCUCUUUAUUCAAAAUCCUAAGUAAAGAAAUACAACUCCAAUGUUCUGUGCUCUGGAGCAAAGGCAGAACAAUAUUGUCACUGUCCACUGGUCUUACGACACUUUGGCCUUGUGUGCUUAUGGCUGGAAGGCACUUGGUGCAUCCUUGGGUGUGCUGCUCACAAAUGAAAAAAACCUAACGCUUUUAAACAGAAGUUCAAAAUCCCGCUCACCUGUUUGUAUGUGGUUGGACAAACUACAGCCAGCUAUUCCUUUAAAGCUACCUACUUCAGUCUGUAUUUAGGACUAAUUAAUUACUCCUUGUUUUGAUCUUAGGUAGAAAAAGCACAAGUAACACUAUCCCAGAGUGCUCUUUAAAACUUUUCUGCAGUUCAUUCACAAAUAUACAGAGCAAGGCAUGCAGAUUUUGCUCUCUCUAUUCCAGAGUCUGUGUGAAGUAACACAGCAAUUGUCUUUCUAUGUUACUAAACUGCUUUUGGUUCCUCUAGUCUCAAAAAAAAAAAAGAUCUCAGUAUUUUCUCCUCAUUUGAUUUUCAAGGGCAUGGGUAUUUAAAUGACUGCCUUCACUGGUACGGAAUAGAAACAGAAUAGAAAACAGUUCACACCACUGUAAAUGAAAAUUAUUCUCUUGAUAAAGCAUCUUUUCCAAAGCCUCUGACAAAACGAAAGGGGAAAAAAAUAGAAAAAGGAAGCUGCACAUGCUUGUCACCUACCAAAAAACAAUGACUCCCUAAAGAUAAUUCAGGUACACACUUCAAUAUGGAUAUCUCACUAUUAACCCAAGCUCUUUUUUUAGUGUAAGUUUCUUCAGAGAAGCUGAAGUGCAUUACUGUCUCAGACAGCCAAGGAUAAGAUGACUGAGGGAAUUCAGUUGCUCUGUUUAAUUAAUACAGGAUUAUUUCACUUUCAUUUUGUGGAGCUAAUAAUAUGACUGGUGGAAUGUCAGUAAAAAUUAAAUCAUAAACUAGUGCAGUACCAAAGGGAAAACUUACUUUAGUUAUGGAUUAUUCCCAGCAGAAAUCUUGAAAAUCUUAUACAUAUUUACACUGAUAAAAUACCACAUGUACUUCAUGGGAUACUGCGAGCUCUCUACAAUCCUUAUAGCAUGUAUUUACAGAGCAGGAGUUAACAUUUUGAGAUUAUACAUUAAUAAAUGAGUUGCAGUUAUAUUGUUUCUUGAAUGUUAAGCACCACAUACUAAGCACAGGAACACGUUCAAGGUCAAUGUCCUAUUUUAGACCUUUUCAGCAGCUGUGAUAUUAUGAUAAUCAUACUUAAAAUAUUCCUAUAGAAAGAGUAAAUUAGUCCUUUUCACUAGCAGGAUUAUUAUGAUAAAUAACAAAUCUGAAAGAGGACAAAUUCAGAUCUCUUAUUUUUCAAUGUGAUAACCUGUCAUCUCUUCCUGCGAUGGCUUAUCUGUUGAGAAAUAAAAUAAAUCCACAUUCUUCUCAUAGGUGAGAAGGCCUCACCUAUGUAAAAAUAUCUCUCUUGAAGUACUUUUCCUUUCUGUAAGAACCAAAACACUCCAAUUGGCAUCCCAUCCUAUCGCCUGUACUGCAGCGAAAUGUAAUAUCCCAUAAAUCCAGAAGGGAAAGAGGAAAACAGCACCAGCAGCUAUUCCUAAGCAAGAUUAGGAGUUUAACUCCAUCUAACUGGGGAUGAGAUGUGUCCCUCAGUGGGUCUUUUCCCACUUCCCCAUCAGCCUCCCACCUGACUGAAAGCUCAAGGUGCUGAACACAGAAAAGAAGACGACAGAGUGUAAAUAUUUCCGCAGUGAAAACCCAAUAGUCUUUACUAAGAGCUGACAUGAAUUGCUUGUUACACCGGCCCCAGGAUAUCACAGCUUGAAGCGAGAGCACACAUACACAGAGCCACCAACCAUUCUCAAACCUUCUGCGCUGUGUAUUUGUGCCUGUGCAUCCAGAGGAGGCUCCUAUGACAUCUGACUUGGAGCCUGUACACCUGCUGUACACAAUGCAUUAUCUCCAGCUUGCCUUUUUUUUCCACCUGACUGUCCCAGCCCAUCUUCCAUCACUCUUCUUUCUUUCUUUUUCUCUCCCUACUCUCCCUCCACUCCCUUCUCUCUGGCAUUUUUAUUAUUAAUGUUAGUGCUAUUAUUACUGUCCAAGCAUAAGCUGAUCCACAGGGGACCCUGUGUAAUUUAACCCCUCAAGCACUAAAUUCCUUCACAUGUGCCAAAGACACAGGUUUGUUGUUGCCUCCAGCAAUAUCCCAGGAAGACGAGUGAUGGCGGUGUCAUAUCAUCACACAGCGACUUAAUCUGUUGCGACACCCAGGGAACAGGUAACUGAAGAGAUUUACAGAACAUGCUCUCUGACUGAAUACAAAAUGUUAUCCCCUUUCCCAACAAACUCACGUCACAUGCAACAAAGUGAAAAAUUUUGCCCUCCUAUGGCUCAUCGUUUUCAUGACUGCUUUAUCCAAUCCCACCACCCUAUGAGUCACCCCACCGUACAUCUUCUAGCUAUACAACAAUUUUUUUCAUGUUUUUGUUCUCUCUCCUUUGUUCUUCUUAGGUUCUCUGAUUAACAAACAGCCGGAUCAUGUUGAACUGCCACGUAGCAUAGCUUCAGAAAUCUUUUAUCCAUACACUAGAUGACUGCAACCAUCACUUACAUCAGGGUUAUCUUUUUGCGCUGUCUUUAUGUUGUCUGACAUCUAAUGUAUGCUUUUUAAAACAACAGAUUAAAGGCAUUCCACUUUUUAAAGGAAUGCUAAGUUACAGACAGUUUAGUUACAAUAACCAUUGACAAGCAGGAGGGCAUCUACAUCAAGUACUGAGAAUCAAAAAUCUAAUCUGCGCGUCCAUCAUGAACUUUCCACACGGGCAUCCAUGUGGAUAACUUUUUGUUAUCCACAGACGUUAAGAAAACUCAGUGUAACGUAGAAGUGCACGGCUGUUCUCUCCAGGAUCAGGAUGAGAUCCUUUAUGUUCUAACAUUUCACUGACCUGGGAAGCAAGAAUUUGCUGCAGAAUUAAUCCUGAACUGCAGCAGACAAAUGAGAAUAAUGAAAAUGAAAACUAACUCAGAAUAACCUUACUGUGCUGGUAAGUCAGAGCUUUCACCAUGGGAAAUUAUCAUUUCUGAAAUAGCUAGAAGGAACUGGUGACAAAGGCUGAGUUCACCUGCUCAACAGUAAACAAAAUAUCCCUCCAUAAGGUGCUAGCUACUUGUAUCUCUAGACACCUCCAAUCUAAUGCAGGUAGGGGCUUUGGUACCGAAGGCAACUGAAACCUAUCCCAGUGGAAAUAUCUAAUUUUUCCUUCUGUAAACACAGCUUCUUAUGAAGUAAUGUAUCAGCUGACUGUCCCCUUAACAUAUUAAGCUUUGCAUAGAGGCACGUUCAGGCUCCAUGUCAAAGGAUUUCUCGGAUGAAGAAAUAUGUCUAUAAACCAAGUACGAGAAGGGGUUAAGCACAUCUUGUGCUUUUCCCCACCAUGAAUAUGAAGAGAUGACUUAAAUGUCUGCAUGGCCAUACAGCUCCCAGACAGGUCUGCAGCUCCUAUAGAAAGGGGGAAUUCACCACCAAUUGCUCUUCUCCCAAGUCCUACAGCUCCAUCCAACUGAACAUCAAAGCUCUGAUUUUUAGUACAAUACAUCAGAAUCACUAAUUAAAAAAGGUGUUUGUUGUGAUUAUUACAAUUAAUUUAUAUAUUUUUUACGGUACUAUUACAAUUGAGACAAUAUAAUCCUAAUGUCACC